rnacentral:rRNA from 1 species
CGUUAGCGGCGGACGGGUGAGUAACACGUGGAUAACCUACCUAUAAGACUGGGAUAACUUCGGGAAACCGGAGCUAAUACCGGAUAACAUAUUGAACCGCAUGGUUCAAUAGUGAAAGGCGGCUUUGCUGUCACUUAUAGAUGGAUCCGCGCCGUAUUAGCUAGUUGGUAAGGUAACGGUUUACCAAGGCAACGAUACGUAGCCGACCUGAGAGGGUGAUCGGCCACACUGGAACUGAGACACGGUCCAGACUCCUACGGGAGGCAGCAGUAGGGAAUCUUCCGCAAUGGGCGAAAGCCUGACGGAGCAACGCCGCGUGAGUGAUGAAGGUCUUCGGAUCGUAAAACUCUGUUAUCAGGGAAGAACAAAUGUGUAAGUAACUGUGCACAUCUUGACGGUACCUGAUCAGAAAGCCACGGCUAACUACGUGCCAGCAGCCGCGGUAAUACGUAGGUGGCAAGCGUUAUCCGGAAUUAUUGGGCGUAAAGCGCGCGUAGGCGGUUUUUUAAGUCUGAUGUGAAAGCCCACGGCUCAACCGUGGAGGGUCAUUGGAAACUGGAAAACUUGAGUGCAGAAGAGGAAAGUGGAUUCCAUGUGUAGCGGUGAAUGCGCAGAGAUAUGAGAACMCAGUGGCGAAGCGACUUUUCUGU